GAAGGGGUUGACCUGGCACUGCUGACCGUCCCCCAGGUGCAGGGGAGCUCCGGAAUUCCAGGCUGCCACCAGCCAAGAGACCCGCAGAGAGACUUUGUCACCAGGGACCAAGAAUGGGGGCCACAGCAGUGGAGGCCUGCUCAGGCCCAGGUCCGUGGGGCCAGUUCUUCCACCGGCAGAGCCAGCGUGGGCUGCGGCCAGUGCUGGGAGAAGCAGGAAGAGGAGCCUCGCUUUGCCAAUUUCGUGCAUGGAGGACGGCUGGGGGGGUGGGCAGCACCCAGCGAUGGCCGCCCCACCCUUUAGGAAGUACUGACGUUAGCGUUAUCUUAUUUCUUAUCUUAUUUGCAGGGUAAUUAUCCCUGUUUGGUAACUGAGAUUCAGAGAGGGGCCUCGGGGGAGCGCCGUGACAAGGUGAUGGAUAAUGGCGGUUAGAAGGCCAUGAUCUACUUGGGGGCCCUCCCAGCCGGUGACAGGUGGCAUCCAUGGUGAUUGGUGAGGGGCCGUGUGGAGCUGCGUGCUGGCUUCCAGGCAUGUCAUGGCAGUGACUUUGGAGCCAUCACUCUUGCUACAGUGCGUCAGGAGGCCCAGAUGACAAGCGCCAAACGCACCUGGCACAGCCGGGCAGGAGAAGAGCCGGGCGACUCGCUCCAAUUAAGAUGCUGCGGGAGAAGAGCCAUCGUCCCGCAAUUACCAGGGACCUCCAGGGCGUCCAGGGGCCUCCAGGCCUGGGGGGUGACAGGACGCCGCCGGCUUCUGCUCUGCAGGGGGCUUGCAGGUCCCCCUCCUGGGUCCAGCUUCUCCUAUGGAAAGGGCUCAUCUCACAGGGAAGGGACGGGCAGUGGGGACCCAGGACACCCCUACUCUAUGCUCGACUCUGUGGGGCCUUUGGGCCUGUGCUGUGGGAUCCCCUGCGGGGUCCUCCAGGCAGGGCUUGGCCAGGUGCCACCUCCCCCGGGAAGCCUUCCUAGGGCCCUGGGGUGGGUCAUGGCUCCCCCGCCCCCCACUCUGUGCCACCUUGGGUGCGUCUUGUCGUCCUGGAGGCUGAGCGUCCAUCUCCCCCGGGACUGUGACUCCUGAGAAGGCCCAGGUGCUCUGGACUCAGGUUGGUCUCCGCAGCUCCCGGGGCCAGUCCUCCAGCAGCUUCUCCAUAAAUGUUGGUUGGAUGGAUGGACAAGAGAGAAGGCGGCGGAGGUGAAGGGGUCAGCCGUGCCCGAGGACAAGCCCACGUUCGCAGGCCCAGGAAUCCACCCGCUUCAGACCGGGGAGAGGACAGUCUGCAGGACCAGGAUGAGCUGAGGGCAUCGUGGCCACCACAGACAGGCACCGUACCGGGAGGACACUGGGACAGGCCCCAGGAACCGUCAGCGAAGGCCACAAGGAGCUGAUUAUCCUCAGGCGCUUUUCCACGCUGAGACGCCGAGGUCUGGGCGGCGCCAGCUCUGAUUCCGCGGAUGGCCCUGUCCCCGGAGGCGGAUCUGGGGAGCGCGACCUGGGUGUGCGGUGCCUGUGGAACUUCAGGGUCCUGUGCGGGCUGUGACCCAGAUGAAGAGGCUGUCAUUGCUCAGGUGGACAGCAGGCUGCCCAGGGACAAAUUGUCCACAGGGGCAGGUCCAGGGUCUGGGCUCAGGACCGUGUGAGUCCCCUGUGCGGCUGCCUCUGCUGGGCUUCUCCACCCUCCAGACAUCUCUCUGGCAGGGGAGACCUUGCCCCAAAUGAUAAGUGGCAAGAUGGCUGCAGUGUCUGUGCACAUCAUCCUCACGCCCCAGUGUCCAAGGCCAGAAGAGAGAAUGUAUCCUGUUUAUGUUCUUCUAAUGAGGAAGGUGUUCCUGGAGGGUCCCCAGAACCUUCCCCUUGUGUCCCCUGGGCCACCAUCGCAUCCCACGGCCAUUCCUGGACAACUCUCUAGCGAGGGAAGAGCCGUGGACAUCAGGGCCCUGGAGUCCUGCAGACCCGAGACCUCAGAAGCCUCCAGAGCCAGGGCUCAGAGCACUCCGCUGUCCUGGAGCCAGCCUGGCGGGUCCUGGAAGGUACCUGGAAACCGGCCACCACCCGUCCGUGCGCACACCGAGGGAAUGAGCAGGCGCCACCUGCUGCUGGGAGCCGGAGCCCGUCCUUCAACAUUUGCCAGGACAUCACCGGCCCGAGGCCUCCAGAGUCAGGGGCGCGGAGGGCAGCGGUUUCCCCAUCUCCUGGGGAGGGUUCUCUGGCUGUUUGGACGUGGGAUUUUCUGGAGUCCUGGGAAGGGUGUCUUUCCUCGUCAUGGAGAGAGUGCUCCUGCGGCUGGGGAGGGCGAGUUUUCCAGAGCUGUGGCUGGUCUUCUCAGACCCAGGAGCAGAGUUUUCCAGAGCAGGCAUUGGGAGCUUUGUGGGGACGGCACCGAUUGCCCUCCACCCUGAGUCACGGUCUUGGACUUUUCCAAAGAGAAACCAGGAGCAUUUUCAAGAUGGAGGCCACCUGUCGGGAGCAGAGACUGGCAUCUCCAGAUGGCAUCUUCGGAGACCAGCGUGUCGGCACCGGGGCUCUCAGCACCUCUGUCCACCCCGCAAACCCCACUCUCCCCUGCUGCGGUGCCCAGGAGGAGGACGGCAGGUCUCCCUAGUGUCCUCCUAAGUCAACCAAAGCAGAUGCCCGGUUCCAGCCUUUCACGGUCACAGCCAACACUUGUGGAGUCAUUUUCCUCCCACAUUCGGAUUCCUGGACCUAAGCUAAGUGGAGCGCUGCAGAAAACUCUGGUUAAAGUGUGACAGUGAGAAAGAGAAGGGCAGGAUUCCUUCACUCUUGAGAAGGACUCUGUGCCCAGAAGGGACAUUUCUGUCCCUAAAGAUGUGCUGGGGGAAGCCUGGCGGAGACCUGUGCUUCCCGCCCAUCUGAACUCUUAUCCCAUGAAACCUUAAGUUGCUUAAAAACGUUGAAACGCCUAUGGGAUGACUUUAAAGGGUUUGUGCCUAAAGUAGAGCAUUCUAACUGGAGAUCAAUAGAAACGAUUUGCAAUUGCUGGUUGUGUUUGAACCACCUGAACGAACAACCCACCGGCAGGUUUGCAGGUGUGGGUGUAUCGCAGGACAAGACCCAAGGAAGUUUCCCUGGUGCACACAAAGGAGCUUUGGUGGGCUCCAGCCGAUCUGGGGUCAGCAAGCUCUUCUUUAGUCAGCAGGGGACUCAAACACCCAGGAGGCUCAUCUUCUGGGCGUCUUACUUUUAUAGGCCUCAUUUAGGGCGGGGCAGAAAGGUAGUUCCUAGGGUCAGCUGAUCUACCGGGGUGGGACAGAAGGGUGGGUGGGGAAGUUCCUAGGGUGCACUGCAUUGGGAUCAGCGGAUCCCUUAGAGCAGGGAGUUAAGUGCCCUUGGGUGUGAGUUCUUUUUUAUUUUUUAGGUGUCGAUGGACACAACACAAUGCCUUUAUUUUUUUUUUUUUAUGCGGUGCUGAGGAUCGAACCCGGUCCCGACCGACCAUGCUAGGUGAGCGCUCUACCUCUGAGCCACAGUCCCAGCCCUGGGUGUGAGUUCUUUUCCCUCCCUGCCUUCCCUCUGGCUGAGGCCUAGGACCUUAAAUAAUAAAAGCUCCAAUUGACCAUGGACAAAGCGGGUGAGGAAACAGGUAUAGACGGGGCAGUGUCCUGGGGUCUACUUUCCAUGUCUUUUAUCCCUUCUGUACCCUGGUGAACCGUACUGUGCAAACAGCCACGUAGAUCAAUCGGUGAGAGAUGCCCAGGGCUCAUCUGAACUGGACUGGACGGGGCUGGGAGCGUCCCCAGGUGUCUGGCAGAGGCAAGGAAAAAACAUAUGAAAAAUAAUCCAGAAAAAGGCUGAUUCCUUUGGGAGAACAGCCAAGAUGCACCUGGAGAGCAUGUCCACCGUCCCUCCUGGUCCCUGGGCCUGGCAAGUGGUUCGAGCUGGGAACAUGUGUCUAUUAAUUAUGGAACAACUUUUUUUCCUUUUCUUUUCUUUUUUUUUGGCUAAGCCAUUCAGAUUCGAGGAUUUAGCUAGUAAAGAUAAAUACAAUUACUUACAUUUCAAUCAAUACUUAAUUUCUUGCAGUUAUAGAUCGCACAUCCUAGCUCUCUUGGUUCUGCUUUUACUGUCAACUUAUGGAUCUUGAUAUUUUAUUUAUGAACUUAGUAAUUUUUGUAGAAAAAGCAAGAUCACAUUUACUUCUUUAUUGAUUCAUGUUCAAUUAUGUCAUAAAUUUGACAGAUGAAAUUCCCAUAAACUUUUUAACACCAUUUAAACAUUUCAUUAAGCAACUUCUGUUACAUAUCUCAAACUACAAUUGCAAAUUUAAUUUAUCCAAUUCAAACACUUCAAACACCUGACAAGGGAGACUUUGGAAUAUGAUAAACGAAUUAUUUCUAAGUACUUAAGCAACUUUUGCAAAUCUAAUCAGACAUAAAAUUAGUUUUAUUGUAAACAUCAUAAAAAGCAAUCCCCAACACAUAAAAAUGAGGCAAUGAUGAUAAAAUUUCUUACUACAACUGUAAAUACAACUUAUACAAAAGUA